rnacentral:rRNA from 1 species
UGCAGUCGAACGCUUCUUUUUCCACCGGAGCUUGCUCCACCGGAAAAAGAGGAGUGGCGAACGGGUGAGUAACACGUGGGUAACCUGCCCAUCAGAAGGGGAUAACACUUGGAAACAGGUGCUAAUACCGUAUAACAAUCGAAACCGCAUGGUUUUGAUUUGAAAGGCGCUUUCGGGUGUCGCUGAUGGAUGGACCCGCGGUGCAUUAGCUAGUUGGUGAGGUAACGGCUCACCAAGGCCACGAUGCAUAGCCGACCUGAGAGGGUGAUCGGCCACAUUGGGACUGAGACACGGCCCAAACUCCUACGGGAGGCAGCAGUAGGGAAUCUUCGGCAAUGGACGAAAGUCUGACCGAGCAACGCCGCGUGAGUGAAGAAGGUUUUCGGAUCGUAAAACUCUGUUGUUAGAGAAGAACAAGGAUGAGAGUAACUGUUCAUCCCUUGACGGUAUCUAACCAGAAAGCCACGGCUAACUACGUGCCAGCAGCCGCGGUAAUACGUAGGUGGCAAGCGUUGUCCGGAUUUAUUGGGCGUAAAGCGAGCGCAGGCGGUUUCUUAAGUCUGAUGUGAAAGCCCCCGGCUCAACCGGGGAGGGUCAUUGGAAACUGGGAGACUUGAGUGCAGAAGAGGAGAGUGGAAUUCCAUGUGUAGCGGUGAAAUGCGUAGAUAUAUGGAGGAACACCAGUGGCGAAGGCGGCUCUCUGGUCUGUAACUGACGCUGAGGCUCGAAAGCGUGGGGAGCAAACAGGAUUAGAUACCCUGGUAGUCCACGCCGUAAACGAUGAGUGCUAAGUGUUGGAGGGUUUCCGCCCUUCAGUGCUGCAGCUAACGCAUUAAGCACUCCGCCUGGGGAGUACGACCGCAAGGUUG